AUGACGGGUGGCUCUCCAGCAGACGUGGAUUCUGGUGGACGUGUGGCAUCGCUAGAACAACAUUUGCUACUCCCCCCCACGCUCCAGCCUACCUGGGCCAGGGAAGGGGCUUGGAGGUAUCUUCCCAGAGGGAUUGUACUAAGGGUCACACUGUUCCCAACUGAAGCCACCCUGAUACCCUCUUUUACCCAGUGGCAUUUGCAACUGAACACAGCACGUGCAUGAAGGGGCUGUCUUGCUUGUUGGCUUGGCAGGGGCCAAGAGGAGACUGAUGGCAUCGUCUUAAGUUAUCGGAUGACUUCAUGUAUCCCGAGAGGCAGUUGCAAGGACAGUCAAGUCCCCCAGGUGGGUCCCAGGAUCUAGAAUCACAUAGGAUAAAAGGAUCUGGGCACAUCUGUGAAGACAUUUUUGGAUUGGGCUGAGAUAGGAAGACUCAUCCUGAAUGUGGUGGCACC
rnacentral:lncRNA from 1 species